GAUGAACGCUAGCUAUAGGCGUAACACAUGCAAGUCGAGGGACCGGCGCACGGGUGAGUAACGCGUAUCCAACCUGCCCAUAACUAAGGGAUAACCCAGCGAAAGUUGGACUAAUACCUUAUGGUUAUGGAUGGGGAUGCGUCUGAUUAGCUUGUUGGCGGGGUAAAUGCCCACCAAGGCAACGAUCAGUAGGGGUUCUGCGAGGGAUGCCCCCCACAUUGGAACUGCGGCCCGGUCCAAACCCCUAGGGGAGGCCGCAGGGAGGAACAUUGGUCCAUGGAGGCAAGUCUGAACCAGCCAACUAGCGUGUAGGAUGACGGCCGAUGGGUUGUAAACUGCUUUUAUAUGGGGAUAGGUACCAUAUGAAUAAGGACCGGCUAAUUCCGUGCCAGCAGCCGCGGUAAUAC
rnacentral:rRNA from 1 species